AUGUACCACUUGGGCACUGCGGUUCCUGUGCGCUGCCCCCGCUCACCUGACGAGUGCUCGCUAGGCGCACCAAGCGCGAUGCGGCC
rnacentral:sRNA from 1 species